CCAGACUCCUACGGGAGGCAGCAGUGGGGAAUAUUGCACAAUGGGGGGAACCCUGAUGCAGCGACGCCGCGUGGGUGAAGGAGCGUUUCGGCGCGUAAAGCCCUAUCGGCAGGGAAGAAGGAGGACGGUACCUGACUAAGAAGCCCCGGCUAACUACGUGCCAGCAGCCGCGGUAAUACGUAGGGGGCAAGCGUUAUCCGGAUUUACUGGGUGUAAAGGGGGCGCAGACGGCAGCGCAAGCCAGGAGUGAAAGCCCGGGGCCCAACCCCGGGACUGCCCUUGGAACUGCUUGGCUGGAGUGCGGGAGGGGCAGGCGGAAUUCCUAGUGUAGCGGUGAAAUGCGUAGAUAUUAGGAGGAACACCAGUGGCGAAGGCGGCCUGCUGGACGAUGACUGACGUUGAGGCUCGAAAGCGUGGGGAGCAAACAGGAUUAGAUACCCGUGUAA
rnacentral:rRNA from 1 species